rnacentral:rRNA from 1 species
AUUGAACGCUGGCGGCAUGCUUUACACAUGCAAGUCGGGCGGCAGCGCGGGGGCAACCCUGGCGGCGAGCGGCGAACGGGUGAGUAACACAUCGGAACGUGCCCAAUCGUGGGGGAUAACGUAGCGAAAGCUACGCUAAUACCGCAUACGAUCUACGGAUGAAAGCGGGGGAUCGCAAGACCUCGCGCGAAUGGAGCGGCCGAUGGCAGAUUAGGUAGUUGGUGGGGUAAAGGCUCACCAAGCCGACGAUCUGUAGCUGGUCUGAGAGGACGACCAGCCACACUGGGACUGAGACACGGCCCAGACUCCUACGGGAGGCAGCAGUGGGGAAUUUUGGACAAUGGGCGCAAGCCUGAUCCAGCCAUUCCGCGUGC